CGGAUUGUAGCGCAGCUUGGUAGCGCACUGUCAUGGGGUGUCAGGGGUCGGAGGUUCGAAUCCUCUCAAUCCGACCA
rnacentral:tRNA from 1 species